rnacentral:rRNA from 1 species
UACGAAGGGGGCGAGCGUUGUUCGGAAUUACUGGGCGUAAAGGGCGCGUAGGCGGCGACCCAAGUCAGAUGUGAAAGUCCUGGGCUUAACCUGGGGACUGCAUUUGAUACUGGGUUGCUUGAAUUCGGGAGAGGAUAGCGGAAUUCCCAGUGUAGAGGUGAAAUUCGUAGAUAUUGGGAAGAACACCGGUGGCGAAGGCGGCUAUCUGGACCGACAUUGACGCUGAGGCGCGAAAGCGUAGGGAGCAAACAGG